rnacentral:rRNA from 1 species
AGACCCGAAACCCGGUGAUCUAGCCAUGGGCAGGUUGAAGGUUGGGUAACACUAACUGGAGGACCGAACCGACUAAUGUUGAAAAAUUAGCGGAUGACCUGUGGCUGGGGGUGAAAGGCCAAUCAAACCGGGAGAUAGCUGGUUCUCCCCGAAAGCUAUUUAGGUAGCGCCUCGUGAAUUCAUCUCCGGGGGUAGAGCACUGUUUCGGCUAGGGGGCCAUCCCGGCUUACCAACCCGAUGCAAACUGCGAAUACCGGAGAAUGUUAUCACGGGAGACACACGGCGGGUGCUAACGUCCGUCGUGAAGAGGGAAACAACCCAGACCGCCAGCUAAGGUCCCAAAGUCAUGGUUAAGUGGGAAACGAUGUGGGAAGGCCCAGACAGCCAGGAUGUUGGCUUAGAAGCAGCCAUCAUUUAAAGAAAGCGUAAUAGCUCACUGGUCGAGUCGGCCUGCGCGGAAGAUGUAACGGGGCUAAACCAUGCACCGAAGCUGCGGCAGCGAACGUAUCACUUAAAGCGAUUCAGCGGGUUACGAUUGACGGAGCGAAGCGACGUCAAAGCGUAUACAAAGUCGAGUCGGUUUAAGGAUACGUUCGUUGGGUAGGGGAGCGUUCUGUAAGCCUGUGAAGGUGUGUCGUGAGGCAUGCUGGAGGUAUCAGAAGUGCGAAUGCUGACAUAAGUAACGAUAAA